CGGGAGGCGGGGCGGCCCUGGAAGCUGGAGAAAAGUUGCAGGGAUCCGAGCGCCAGCAGCUGCUGGAGCUGGAGCCGCUGGAGCGAGGACCACCCCGCAGCCUCCGGACUUUGUUUGCAGAGCAGCGUGCCACGCUGCAGGGGGAACACGGUUCCCAGCUACCCUUGCAGCUCGCGGUGGUCACGUGACACGGAUCUGCCCAAUGGGAUGCUAAUGAAGGUCUGGAGGCGGGGCUUCUAGGGAAGACCAAGGCCCCGGAUCCAAGAUGGCAGCCCAGGAGAACCGCUGGCACCCGGGUUCUUGGUGGCUCAGCUUCUCGCAUGGGCAUGAAGGUUCCAACCGAGAGCAAGCCUCCGUUGCCCGCGGGUCCCCUGCGGAGUCCCCGAAUUAACUUCCGUGACCAACUCCCCGCCGACUUCAAGGAGCAGAAAGCAAGUAGCGAGGUAAACCCUCGGCAGACAAAUGAGAACCAGGUUUGUAUUUUUAUUUUUUUUAUUCUUUUAUUUUUUCAACAUAUGAAGUUGAUUGCCAAACUGGUUUCCAUACAACACCCAGCGCUCAUCCCAAAAGGUGCCCUCCUCAAUACCCAUCACCCACCCUUCCCUCCCUCCCACCCCCCAUCAACCCUCAGUUUGUUCUCAGUUUUUAAGAGUCUCUUAUGCUUUGGCUCUCUCCCACUCUAACCUGUUUUUCUUUUCCUUCCCCUCCCCCAUGGGUUUCUGUUAAGGUUCUCAGGAUCCGCAUAAGAGUGAAAACAUACUGUAUCUGUCUUUCUCUGUAUGGCUUAUUUCACUUAGCACCACACUCUCGUGUUCCAUCCACGUUGCUACAAAGGACCAGAUUUCAUUCUUUCUCAUUGCCAUGUAGUACUCCAUUGUGUAUAUAAACCACCAUUUCUUUAUCCAUUCAUCAGUUGAUGGACAUUUAGGCUCUUUCCACAAUUUGGCUAUUGUUGAGAGUGCUGCUAUAAACAUUGGGGUAUGAGUGCCCCUAUGCGUCAGUACUCCUGUAUCCCUUGGGUAAAUUUCUACCAGUGCUAUUGCUGGGUCAUAGGGUAGGUCUAUUUUUAAUUUUUUGAGGAACCACCACACUGUUUUCCAGAGUGGCUGCACCAAUUUGCAUUCCCACCAACAGUGCAAGAGGGUUCCCGUGAGAACCGGGUUUUUAAAACAGAAAGUUGAUAUCAUUAGAACUCGAUUAACUUUUUCUCCUACUCCAGCAUCAUGGACUAAGCAAGCCCCGGGACACCUGUCCUUCAAAAUAAGUAAAUUUCUGGCUGAGGAAUGACAUGAUUUAAUCAUUUUGUUAAGUUGAAGUGCGUAACUGUGACUAUUUGGAGGCUGGUUCCUGGUUUUUGUUGUUGUUGUUGUUUGUUUUGUUUUCCUCCCCGAAAUUUUGGGAGCUUCAGAGCACGCACACAGGGCUUGCUAUGUGUUGAUCAGGUGCCUCUUGCUCAUAGAGUUUUUUGAUCAGCCCAACACUGUGACAAGGUGGAGAGUAUUAUUACCCCCAUUUACAGGUAGGGAGACUGAGGUGCAGAAAGUUGAAGUUAACUGACAGCCCUGGGGGUCUUUGGUGCGUCCUUCUCGAAGGAGGUUCUUCCUAAAAAGAGCUUUUCAUAUUUGCUCAUCUCGCUUGUCCCAGAGGGAAGCUCUGUAAGAGUGCUCGUGACCGGGGGAGGGA
ensembl:lncRNA